GCAGCACGAUUUUUGACGGCUCGAAAUUCUUUUGCACACAAAAAAAUAUUACCGUAAUGACAAAAGUAACUUAUUUUUGAUUUAAAAAGUUGCUUAAAUUAGCUUGAGGGAAAGUUUUUUUCUUGUUUAAAAUAUGAAAACUUUUACUGAAUUUCUUUCAUUUUGACGUUUUCGUGUAACCGUGUAAGACUAAGUUCCAAAUGUAAACAAACACUUUGGUGGGUCCGGUGGUGCUGGUGAUUCUAGGCAGCAGCCAGGAAUCGGACGCGGAAACCUUCGUGAGCCAAACAGCAGCAGCGGAACGCCUUCGAAGGAGGGUGGUGCGGGUGCGGGACGAGGUGAAGUGCUCAAAAAGGACAAGGCGAGCUUCCUGCAGGAACUGCAGCUGUUCCACGACCGGAAUGGGAUGGGAGGUAGGAAUGUGGAUUCGCACCGGUUGUAUUCGGUGGUGGUGGCCCGGGAUUGGUGAUUGAAGGUCAAUUCCCGCGAGGACUGUAACGAGAUCAUCGAGGAGAUGGCGCUGCCGAAGAGUUGCGUGAACAACGAGAUUGCGUUGAAGAAGAUAAACAUCCGGUUUUUGGACAAGUACGAGACAGGUGAUUUUCACGGUGAGGAGAAGGAGCUGACGAAGAGGAGGACGUCGAGAAGCGGGAAGGUAGCCAGAGCGGAUGUUAUACUCGGUGCCGGCGGUUUACAACUCCUGUGAGUAUUGAGAAUGUGUACAGUGGCU